UACGUAGGGUGCAAGCGUUAAUCGGAAUUACUGGGCGUAAAGCGUGCGCAGGCGGUUGUGUAAGACAGAUGUGAAAUCCCUGGGCUCAACCUGGGGAACUGCAUUUGUGACUGCACAGCUGGAGUGCGGCAGAGGGGGAUGGAAUUCCGCGUGUAGCAGUGAAAUGCGUAGAUAUGCGGAGGAACACCGAUGGCGAAGGCAAUCCCCUGGGCCUGCACUGACGCUCAUGCACGAAAGCGUGGGGAGCAAACAGG
rnacentral:rRNA from 1 species